rnacentral:rRNA from 1 species
GAUGAACGCUAGCUACAGGCUUAACACAUGCAAGUCGAGGGGUAGCAGGGUAGCAAUACCGCUGACGACCGGCGCACGGGUGAGUAACACGUAUCCAACCUUCCCAUAACUCGGGGAUAGCCUUUCGAAAGAAAGAUUAAUACCCGAUAGUACUUAACAAAGGCAUCUUUGAUAAGUUAAAGAUUUAUUGGUUAUGGAUGGGGAUGCGUUCCAUUAGAUAGUUGGUGAGAUAACGGCUCACCAAGUCAUCGAUGGAUAGGGGUUCUGAGAGGAAGGUCCCCCACAUUGGUACUGAGACACGGACCAAACUCCUACGGGAGGCAGCAGUGAGGAAUAUUGGUCAAUGGGCGAGAGCCUGAACCAGCCAAGUAGCGUGAAGGAUGAAGGUCCUAUGGAUUGUAAACUUCUUUUAUAGUAGAAUAAAGUGAUCCACGUGUGGAUUUUUGUAUGUAUACUAUGAAUAAGGAUCGGCUAACUCCGUGCCAGCCGCCGCUGUAA